UUGUUUGAUUUGUCCGCAAUAUGGAAUCUCGACCAUCGCCUUGCAUUCGAUCCCCCAUCAAGCAGCUCUCAGCGCCAACCUUUGAUGUCCAUAAUUUGAUGUUGACUCUUAGUUAGCCAGUAUACAGUUCCGACUCAUCAUCGACCAACAUCGAGCUUUGAUCGGCCUGAACCGACCAAAUCAAAAUUUAAAAAGCUGGCGCCUUCAGAUAACAACCAUCAGGGAGC
rnacentral:lncRNA from 1 species